ensembl:rRNA 5S_rRNA 5S ribosomal RNA
GCUUACGGCCACACCGCCUGGUAUACGCUUGAUCUCGGAAAAUAAGAUAGGUUGGGCCUGGUUAGUACUUGGAUGGGAGACCGCCUGGGAAUACCAGGUGCUGUAAGCU